UACGAAGGGGGCUAGCGUUGCUCGGAAUCACUGGGCGUAAAGCGCACGUAGGCGGAUUGCUAAGUCAGGGGUGAAAUCCUGGAGCUCAACUCCAGAACUGCCUUUGAUACUGGAGAGCUCGAGUCCGGAAGAGGUGAGUGGAACUCCGAGUGUAGAGGUGAAAUUCGUAGAUAUUCGGAAGAACACCAGUGGCGAAGGCGGCUCACUGGUCCGGUACUGACGCUGAUGUGCGAAAGCGUGGGGAGCAAACAGG
rnacentral:rRNA from 1 species